UGUGAGUCAGACUGUCAAAAUGGGAGA
rnacentral:piRNA from 1 species